rnacentral:tRNA from 1 species
GAGGGUAUAGCUCAGUGGUAGAGCAUGUGCUUACCAUGCAUGAGAUCCUGGGUUCAAUCCCAAUUAACUCC